rnacentral:rRNA from 1 species
GACGAACGCUGGCGGCGUGCUUAACACAUGCAAGUCGAACGGAAAGGCCCUGCUUUUGUGGGGUGCUCGAGUGGCGAACGGGUGAGUAACACGUGAGUAACCUGCCCUUGACCUUGGGAUAACUUCAGGAAACUGGGGCUAAUACCGGAUAGGAGCUCCUGCUGCAUGGUGGGGGUUGGAAAGUUUCGGCGGUUGGGGAUGGACUCGCGGCUUAUCAGCUUGUUGGUGGGGUAGUGGCUUACCAAGGCUUUGACGGGUAGCCGGCCUGGGAGGGUGACCGGCCACAUUGGGACUGAGAUACGGCCCAGACUCCUACGGGAGGCAGCAGUGGGGAAUAUUGCACAAUGGGCGGAAGCCUGAUGCAGCAACGCCGCGUGCGGGAUGACGGCCUUCGGGUUGUAAACCGCUUUCGCCUGCGACGAAGCGUGAGUGACGGUAAUGGGUAAAGAAGCACCGGCUAACUACGUG